rnacentral:lncRNA from 1 species
AAUUUGGCAAAAAAUUUAUCAUCUGUAAAAGAAGUAACAGCAGAAAGACUCGGCCACUUUGCAAUCAGAUUCCUACUUUCCAGAAGCCUCAGAAUUUGCAGCCGCGGCUCAAGCCUCAUUUCGAUGCUGCACCCGAGCACUGACGGGCAAGUGACAAUGCUGGACAUAUUGUACUUGCUGGUAGCAACCAGAAGAUCUAUCACAUUCUUAAUUUUAUUUCCAGAAACCCCAAAAACUGUUGGUUGCUUCCUAAGAAUCACGAACAUGUCAUUAUCAGAAAAUCCCAAAUUGCGGAGACUUUGCCACUUCACUUCCCACAUCCUCUUACUCUUAAGGGCAAAUAAACCAACAAGAAAAAUGAAAUUGACAGAAGCCUUAGAUGCCCCAAUUUCUAUGGCCUUGUCUACAGAUUUCCUCAUAAUAUGAGGCUUCACCAAGAAGCAUCUCGGCCGAAUAUAGAGGAAGUGUUGGAUACGCUCCAUAGGUAUACCGCAGCUCUUGAGGAUUUCCACAUUCGGCAUUAAGGAUUCAUCCAAAUCUGUUGUCAAAAACCAGGCAGAUCUUUUCAAAAGUCUGGCCACUUCAUGACCAGAUUCGAGGAAAUCUUUGAGCUUGGAUAAUGAAGGAAUGAUCCUAUUCUUCGUGCUUGAACGUAACAUCGAAAUAUGACUGAAAAUUAUUUGGGCAAUCUCCUCGGGAGAAAGGCCCAAGUCUUGGAAUACGUUGAAUUUGAAUCUGAUGCGCUCAAUUCUAAACCCUAGAAUCGGAGGAUAAUAGAUGACGAUUUUCUCGAGCUGAGUAGUCGUAAAGCUAUUCUCUUUGAAGAAGGAUAAUACUGAAUCGGCUCUUUUAGGGCAUCUAGAUUUGGGGGAACGUGAUGCAGCUAGUGAAGCCGAUUCGGGAGAGAAGUGGUGUUUGUUGACCAAUACAUCGUAGAUUUUAAGGUUAGGGAUCUGUCUUUCCACUUUCGAAGUGGAGAAGAAUUGGAAUGCGGGAAAGAAAUGAAGAUUUGAGUUGCUGAGAAAUGAAUUAGGGUUCAAACGUAAACAGGAGAGGUUCUUGCGUGCAAUUGCAAUCAUGUUGAUUGAUAUAAAUAGAAUGUGUGUUCGGAAAUGAAAGGGACUUGCCUGCAAAAUCAAAGACUCAAAGCUUGUCGAUUGAGGGUUUUUGAACCAGCGCCGUCGCCAUGGCAGGGAGGGAAGAAGCUUUAGUUUCAAUAGUCCAACAGAUUCAUUUUUGCUUAAAGUUGCUGAAAAUAAAUCAUUUUUCGGAAAUUUGUGAUAGUUUCCAAAAAUACACGAUGGAUUAAUUUAGUGAGAAUAUACUGUAUAAAAUUAACCUAAAAAUGAAGUAAAUGUUAGUCAAAAAAGAGAAAUUCUCCUAUUUUUCAGAGAUUUUUUUCCCCCUGGUAUUCUAAGUUUGAAAAAGAAAAUGGAAAAGCUAUUUGGCCAUGGUUGACCUAUAAAAUCUAUGUAUUUAAUUUUUUAUAUUUAAAAUAAAAUUAGGAUUUAGUUAGUGUUAUUUUUUACACAUUGUAGCUAAUUUUUUUUAAUAUUUUUUAUAAAUAUUUUACUUAAACAAAAUUAAAAAAUAAAAAAUUGCAAUGUGUACAAAAUAAUAUGAGUUGAUAUUGGAAAUAGUCAUUUUGAGGAAAGAAACAUAAUAUUUGGUCAGUAAUUGAAAAAACAUAAAAUCUGGACAUUUAUGACCUAUAAAGACUGUUUUGCCCUUAAUUAUGGUGGACUGGAUUUAGGUCGAAUUCGGGGUUGCGCGGGUUAGGUACGUGCCAACCGAAAAAAAAAUAUACUCUUAUGACACUAAUGACACUAAUAUGACCAUAAGUAUCAUUCGUGCAUCACCCUAAAUGGAUAAUCUAAAGGGGUUAUGACUAAAAAAUACACGAACUUUGAAAAAGUUACAAUUUGUACUUGAACUCUUAAUUAAGCCCAAAAAUAUAUGAAUUUAUAUUUUUGUUGCAAUUUUUCACCUUAAGUUUUGACUUUUACAAUAAAAUUAGAGCUUAAUUGACAAUCGGAAAUUCAUUUGAUGUUGGUCUAACUUGUGAUGAUGAUGAGUAUUUAGAAGCUCGGAGGUCUAAGAAGACAAAAAUUAAUAUAUGUGAUUUAAUUUUGACUGUCAAUUAAGCUCCAAUUUUGUCGAAAGUCAAACUUAGGUGAAAAUUGCAACAAGAAAUAUAAAUUCAUGUAUUUUGGGGGCUUAAUUGAAAGUUCAGGUGAAAAUUGUAAAUUUUUUCAAAGUUCAUGUAUUUUUUUGCCAUAACCCCUAAUCUAAAUUCUAAAUGGAUAAUCUAAACCUUACGGGAAGUGUUCAAAAUGAUCAUAUAAUUGUAAUAAUCUAUAUAAGACAAGACAAUGUAUCAACGCAAGUAUAUGAUACUAAUGACACUAAUAGUGCCAUCAUAUAUACCAAUUUACUUAGAUUUUUUUUUUCGGUUGGCAAUAAUACCAUAUGUGCCUAAGCCGCGCGCAAACUCGAAUCCAGUCCACCCUAAUUAAGAGCAAAACAAUCCUAAAACGUAAAAAAUUGCCAGAUUUUGUGUUUUUUCGAUUAGUAGCUAGUAUUAUGUUUGAAUCUUCAAUAUGAUCAUCUGACACUAUAUUCUCAAAUAAUAAAACUAGCAGCAUUCUAUUUUUAUAUUGAACAAAAUAUUUAAAUACAUAAAUUUAAAGUUACUAUGAUUAGUGAUGUCCAUGGCUAACUGAAAUCGGGUGAAUUGGCAUGUGGUCAACGGUUCGGAUCUCCGAAUCAUUGAUCACAGGCUAAAACUGAAAUCGGAAUCGAAAUCGUGAAACACUUGGUCAAGUUCCGGACCCAAAAAUCUAGAACCAAAGACCAAUGAUUAACCGUUGGGUCGAAAAUUGUCGGUUAACUAUCCAAAGAAUAGUGUGGAUGAAAUCAAUUGAGUAUUGUUAUUUUUUAGAAUUAUACUAAUAAUUCUUUUGCUUGAAAUCAAAAUAGUGUACAUGAAAAAAUAGUGUACAAAAAUAGUGUGCAUGAAAUCUAUCGAGUAAUGUUGGCAACUCUUGAAAUUUUUGUUAUGUUUUAAGAAUUGAUUUUGAGAUAAUAUGUUACAUUGUAUUAUUAUUUUUAUUGGUUAUGUAACUACGUUGCUUAAGUCGGAACUAUAUGUUGUUGAUAUUGAUUUUGUUGAUAUCGAAUUAAAUUUGAAUUUUGCAAUUUACAAUUGGGUUAUGCAAUUAUUUUGUUGCAUAUAAGCCUGUCCUUUUUUGUGAGAUUUAUUGCUAUUAAUGUUUCUUCAGAAAUGAUGAUGAAGCGCAAUCCGUUGAUAAGACACUUCUCCUCCAAUUAAGAGGUCGGGGGUUGAGUCCCUAAAAGCUAGAGUGUGAGGUGUUUUUACUUUCUUUAAGUGUAACAAUUUUUUAUUAAAAAAGUGUUUCUUCGGAAAUCAGCACAUAUUAUAUUAUAUGCUUAAUUGUUAAGAAGACAUUGUUAAGAAGAUUGCUUUGAUAUUUCUAGCCCUAAGCUAAGUGUAACAUAGCUCUAUAUCAUUAUGUCUCUCAUAAUUGGUACCCCUGGUACCAACAUUGCUUUUUAAUAUUAUUAACUUUUCUGAUAAAAAAAAAUAUAGUAUAUCAUUAUGUCUCUCGUCAAAUAUAAUCCAACGACAAUCAAAUGUGAAUUUUUAUAAAUGAAAGCAGGAUAUGUUUUUCCUGCAAUAACGAAAUCCAAAUAGAUGGAACUAUAAUCCAUCGAAUAUAUAAGAAGAUUUGUCAAUAACUUGCACAACUUCUCAAUAGUUCCUGCAAUAAUACAAACUAGACCAACUCCAAAUAAGACUAUAAACUACGCUUAGGCGAGACUCGAUGUGAUGCCUCAGCUUUGCAGAUUUUGGGCAAGGCCUCAUUGGCGGACAAAAUGAAACACUACCUAAAGAGGCAACACCAGUUUUUUCUAAUCUCAUGACGAGCAGUCACAACAAGAAUACGAACAUGCUUCCAAAUGUCACAAUUCUCAGCACAAAAGCAAUACAAGGCUAAAAUCUACAAGAGUGAUUAAAUAAGCUGGAUAUCUGUAUAUAAUGAGCAUACCAGUUCCUCAAUCAUCAGCUUAAAGCUUCAACGCCUUUGGCCCUCGACAUGUAUCUCCGAGUGAUGUGUUCUUCGCCAAUCUCAUCAUAAUAAGGCCUAAUAAAUUUGUCCAAAAAAUUAUCAUCUGUAAAAGAAGUAACAGUAGAAAGACACGGCCACUUUGCAAUCAGAUUCCUACUUUCCAGAAGCCACAGAAUUUGCAGCCGCGGCUCAAGCCUCUUCUCUAUACUGCACCCGAGUGCUGACGGGCAAGUGACAAUGCUGGACAUAUCGUACUUCCCGGUAGCAAGCAGAAGCUCUAUCACAUUCUUAAUUUUAUUUCCAGAAGUCGAAAAGACUGUUGGUUGCUUCCUAAGAAUCACGAACAUGUCAUUAUCAGAAAAUCCCAGAUCGCGGAGAGUUUGCAACUUGACCUCCCACAUCCUCUUACUCUUAAGAGCAAAUAAACAAACACAAAAAAUGAAAUUGAUAGAAGCCUUAGAUGCCCCAAUUUCUAUGGCCUUGUCUACAGAUUUCCUCAUAAUAUGUGGCUUCACCAAGAAACAUUUGGCUGAAGAAAGAGAAAGUGUUGGAUACGCUCCAUAGGUAUACCGCAGCUCUUGAGGAUUUCCACAUUCGGCAUUAAGGAUUUCUCCAAAUCCGCUCUCAAAAACCAGGCAAAUCUUUUUAAAAGUCGGACCACAUCAUGACCAGGUUCAAGGACAUCUUGGAGCUUGGAUAUUGAAGGAAUGAUCCUAUUCUUCGUGCUUGAUUUUAAAAUACAAAUAUCCUUGGAAAUUAUAUUGGCUAUCUCCUCGGGAGAAAGGCCCAAGUCUUGGAAUACCUUGAAUUUGAAUCUGAUGCGCUCAAUUCUAGACCCUAGAAUCGCAGGAUAAAAGAUGACGAUUUUCUCGAGCUGAGUAGUCGUAAAGCUAUUCUCUUUAAAGAAGGAUAGUACUGAAUCGGCUAUUUUAGGGCUUCUAGAUUUGGGGGAACGUGAUGCAGCUAGUGAAGCCGAUUCGGGAGAGAAGUGGUGUUUGUUAACCAAUACAUCGUAGAUUUUAGGGCUAGGGAUUUGUCUUUCCACUUUCGAAGUGGAGAAGAAUUGGAAUGCGGGAAAGAAAUGAAGAUUUGAGUUGCAGAGAAAUGAAUUAGUGUUCAGAUAUAAGCAGAAGAGAUUCUUGCGUGCAAUUGCAAUUGCAAUCAUGUUGAUUGAUAUAAAUAGAAUUUGUGUUCGGAAAUGAAAGGGACUUGCCUGCAAAAUCGAAGGACUCAAAGCUUGUGGAUUGAGGGUUUUUGAACCAGCGGCGUCGCCAUGGCAGGAGGAAGCUUAGCUUCGAGAGUCCAACAGAUUCAUUUUUGCUUAAUUUAGGAUUUUUGUAAUACUAAACAUAAAAUUUACUCUAUUCGAUAAGUACCACAUAAUUUAGGAAUAUUUUUAUGUUACCGAGGAGUUGUGGUCCAAAUAGUAAAUUUAAGAGUUAAGACAUCAAAUCAAAAUACUCAUUCCGUUUCCAAUCCAAGAGUAUAUCACAUUUUUCAAUUUUGUUCGUGUAUCACUUUUAUGUUUGGACAUGAGUUAAUUUUUUCCUUUUAAUCACAACCAAUUAUUUUUACAACCUCACAGUCACCCAUUUCUAAUCAUCACAUUAAUUAUCAACUUUUUCUUAAAACUCACACCUUUUUAUAUGUGAUACAUUUUUAUGGGACGGAGGGAGUAUGAGGUUAUUAAUUUAAGUCACUGUGUAUAUAUUCUCACUAACGAUUACUAUAUUUUUCAUUGGAUAUAUAUUCCCUCCAUUCCAUUAUUCAUGACUUGUAUUCCUUUUUGAGCCGUCCCACAUACCAUGACAUGUUUCCUCUUUUGGACAUAAUUAAAACUUAAUUAAAAACUUAAUUACACUAAUUAUUUACACCUAAACCCUAUUUUGUUUUCAUUCUCUCUUUCUUCUCCACCGCCUCCAUUUCUUCUUCCACAUUUCUUCUCCACCACCUCCCUAGGUCGGACGACGAGCAGCCGCAGGCACUAGGCACACCACCAACCACCUCAUGAUCUCACUAGCACCGUCCCCCUCUUCUUUCUCUCGAUUUCAUAGAACUCCUAAAUCUUCAAUUUUUUUUAAAAAUCCCAAGCUUUUUGCUUACCUCUCACCCGCCGCCGCCUUCCUUCGGCAAAGUCGCCGCCACCAGCCACCGUCGGCAACCACAACAGCCGCGCUGACACCUUCUCCAUUCUAUCAUGCUAAGACCGACUACUACAAGAGGCUGUCGCCGAUCUUUCUCUCAACUCUGGCCGAUGGCCAGUAUUAUAAAUCGUCGUCGCCUGGUCUGCCUCUUCCACCCUCCACUUGCGCACCACCUCCACGACCUCCACCCUCACGAUUCCUCGAGUGAUUUUGAAACCCACANGUAAUUGUUGUAUAUGUUGAGAUUUUCUGCUGAAGAUUCAUAGGAUUUGUAAAAGAAAUUAGUAGAUUAUUGUAAUUUUUGUUGGGUUUUCUGCUUGAGUGUUCCAUGUUUUGCUGAGGUUUCCGCCGCUGCUCCAGUUUAAUUUUUGUAAUUUUGUUCUUAGUUUCUGCGUGAGAUUCAUAGGAUUUGCGAAGAUUGUUGGUUUAAUUUGCAAUUUGUGGAAUACUUGGGAAAAUCAUAUGACAUUUGUGGAAUAUUUGGGAAUAAUUGAAAUAUUUGUUGGUUUAAUUUGUAGUUUUUGAUCUCCUUAAACAAUUCAUUAAACUCUUCCAUUCCCUUAAUUUUAGUUUCUUAACCUCCGUGCCGAAAAGGCACGUGCCAUGAAUAAUGGGACGGAGGGAGUAUAAUUUAAUUUUAGGUUUCACUAUAAUCUAAUUCGAACUAACUUCGUUAAUUAAUUGUAAUGUACAUUCAAUUAUGUAUCUUAUAUCUCAGAAAAACAUUCUCGAUCGGCAAACAACGUUUUUUAAACGGACAAGUUUACGAUUGAACUUACAUUAAAAUACAAAAUUGUUAAUAUUUUUGCAGCGAUGGCAAAGAUAAAAUUGGAUGUUUAUCAACUUUUUAACUUGAAAUUAUGAAAGACAUUUACUUAAAGGUAAAAUUCAUUUUUAAAUUCAUAUUUUUGGGGCUACAGUAAUUUAAUUAUUAUUUGUGAGGGAUAUAAUUUGAAUACUAUUAUACUAUUGUUUAGCAUGGAUUUUGGCAUGAGAAAGUAAUAUGAUUUCAAAAUAUUAAAUUUCUGUAUUUGGUUAAAUUUUUAUCGGUCAAGGAAAGUAAUAAAAAUCCUGAAAACCAGGAAAGUAGUGCAACUUUCCAGAAUUAUUAUUCCUUAGUUUUUCUUAUUCCUCUUUCUCAGGAUUCUUACUUAUUUUUAUUUAAUAGGUAUUUAAUGUUUAUUAUUAUUAUUAUUAUUAUUAUUAUUAUUAUUAUUAUUAUUAUUAUUAUUUAAUUUAUUAGUUAGUUUAUAAUUUAUUUUAAGAAAAUUAUAAUUUAAUUCUUAGAACUAUGAAUCAUACUUUAUUGAAAAAAUCUUAAUUUAAUUUUUUAAAACUACAAAUCAUCUUUUUGUACAUUAUUAUUAUUACUAUUAUAAACAAAUCUUGAUUAAAUUUUAGAGCUAUGAAUCACACUUUAUUAUUAUUAUUAUUAUUAUUAUUAUUAUUAUUAUUAUUAUUAUUAUUAUUAUUAUUAUGUAAGAAAAUUUGAAUUUAAUUUUAGAAUUAUAAAUCAUAUAAUUAACCUUAAUAAUGUACUUUGUUGUUACUAAAAAAUUAAUUAGAGAAAUUUAUUAUAAAGAUUAAAUUACAGUUUAAUUCUUAUAUAUAUAUUGAUUAAUUAUAUUUAUUUAAUGAUACAAAUCCAUAAUCCUAACAAUUAUUUUUGGUAUUUCCAAACACUGGAUAAUGAAUCUAUUAGGAUUCAUUUUCCACGGAAUCAUUCUCCUGGGAAUAACCAUCUUAAUUCACAUUACUUUCCUGGCAAACAAACAUAAAGGUAAAAUAGUGUGUUUAUUAAUAAAUUUAUUAUUUUAUUAAUGAAGUGGCUACUACUAAUAGCAAGUUGAUUAUGUUUAGAAUCAUCCAAAGUAAGCUAGCCCCCCUUUAUAUAGUUUUGCCGGAGUAUUAUAACUAUACCAUUGUUAUCACAAAAAAUAAUACCAUUGUUUUUUUCUGGUUCAUCUUAAAUAAAGUAACACCGUAUCAAAUUCCAAAUACAUCUAGCUUUGUAGGUAUAAUAAGAAAAGGAAAAAGAGCAAGACCGAAUACAUUUUUGUGUGAACGGUUACUCUAUGUGCAGUAGAACAGGUAAAUAAAAUAUAUGGUAAAGUAUUUUAAAUAUGAUAAUAACAAAAUAGAUUUAAAAUUAAUCGAACUAUAAGAAUAAAAUGAUAAAUUUAUAGUAUUAUUUUCAUUUAUCAAUCUCAUCACCCAAAAUAAAUGCCCAUCCUCAACGACUCUUCUUUUGUUUCCACUUCAUUUUAUUCAAGCGACCACUUAGAGCAUCUACAUCGCGCGUCCUUCUCCCUGGGUCGAUCUGCAUCGUCGUCGCCUCGCCUCGCCUGCGCGGGAGACACACCCUGUGUCGACGCCGGGUCUCUAUAAUGUAACGGGUCGAUGGCAGAAGUUGAGAGAUCCAAGCGCUACAUGCGCAUGGUUUAAUUAAAAAAAAUAAAACAAACCUUUUUUAUUUAUGAGAUCAGUUCCAGAGAAGCGAAACUUGGGGAAGAAACGAAACUUGAGAGAGAGGAAAAAAAUUGGGGAAGAAAGAGAUAGUGGGGUUGAGUAAAUAACAUUUUUUUUUAGUGUUUUCACCUAAUUUUUAAUUAUUGUAAUAUUUAUAAUUUAAAAUCUUAUAUUUUAUUUUAAUUAUUGUAAUGUUGAAUUUUAAUUUUAAUGAAAAUUUAGAAUUUUAAAAUAAAAGUGUAGAAUUGGAGAUUUUGUGAAAAUGAAAAUUUAAGCGUCAAGCUAAGACUAGGGGUGCAAGUGAGUCGAGCCAGCUCGCGAGCUACUCGGGAUCGGCUCGAAGAUUACUCGAAAUCGGCUCGAUGUUAGUCGAGUCGAGCUCGAGCUCGAGCUACUCGAAUAGGUACCGAGCCCGAGUUCGAGUUUCGUGAUACUCGACUCGUUAGGCUCGCGAGCCUAAUCGAGCCCAAGCAAUUAUUAUAUAAUAUAUUAUAUAUAAGCCCAUAAUUAUAUUUACUAGUACAUCCGCCCGUGCGAUGCACGGCGAGCAUCGAAAUUGGUUAUUUUCUCUUAAUCAAUGCUCCAAUUCUCAAUUUCAAAAGAUUGGUUUCUUUAAUUUUUGAACUUCUAUCUUCUGCCUUCUAUUUCUACAUAUUAUGUAUAGAUAUAUGAGAAAUGAUAUAGUGAGCGCCUAGAAUGAGGGCCACUUCCACGUCAUCUCAUUCUUUUCUUUUGUUUUACUUCCAUGUUUUGUCGUUUGUCAAUCUUGCUUUUCUGUUGUUUGCAAUAUAUAUGUCCAUCGCUUCUCUCUCAAUCGAUUCGAAAAAUUAAAGAAAAAUCAAAACGAUGAUUUACAUGUAAUUUUUAUUCUCAAAUUGACAAAUCCUAGAAAAACCACUAAUGAAAAAAGGCAAAAAAAUUGCAAAAGUAGACGAUAUAAAAGAAAACAUGGAAGAAAAAGGGAAGAAGAACAAAGCUGUAGAGAUGACGGAAAAAGAAAGAAAGAAAAUCGAUUGUUGCAGAAAAAAUUAAGAAAAAGAAAAAAAAAGAGCAAAAAGACUAAUAAAAAAAUAACAUUCAUAUAUCUUUGANUCAAUUCAUUUACACAACUAAUAGUCAAAAGUUGUGGCUCAAAUGUCAAAAAGGUGUUGGCCCACAUGAAGUGGAAAGUUCUCAACAAGUCGGCGCCGGAGACGUCGACUGAAAGAGAUGGUAGGCGGCUGAAACUUUGGGAAGAAGAUGGUAGACGGCUUCAGGGGUUUAGGGCUUCUAACGUAUUUCAACAUUCAAAGUUGAAUUUCCUUUUCUUUUUCAUUUUUUUAAUUUUUGAAAGAGCCUUUAAAACCGGUUUUAAAGUGGUUUAAUAUGUUAAAUUAAAACCGGUGUCGUAAUAUAACUACGACACCACAGAAAAGAAACCGGUAGUAAAAAACCGGUUUCUAUUAGCGCACUUUUUUUAAAAAGAAACCGGUUAUAUCUAUGAAACCGGUUUUAAGAGCUAUAAAACCGGUUUUGAGCAAAAACCGGUUUCUAUUCACCGGUUUUUAUUAAAGUUUUUGUUGUAGUGCCUCCAUCCACAAAAUAUUUGUCACAUUAUGGACGGUACGAGUUUUAAUAAAAUGUGAGUGGAGUUAUUAGUGGAGUAAAAGUUUCAAUUUAAAUGUAAGUGGGAUUGUGUAGACUCUAUUACUAUAAAUAAAGUGACAAUUUUUUCAUGAACAGACCAGAAAGAAAUUCAAAUUGUGAUAAAUUUUUUGUGGACUACAGAAGUAUAUUUCUUAAAAAAUAUCCUCAAACUUGUUUAUUUCUUUAAAACUAGUACAUCCGCCCGUGCGAUGCACGGCGAGCAUCGAAAUUGAUUAUUUUCUCUUGAUCAAUGCUCCAAUUCUCAAUUUCAAAAGAUUAGUUUCUUUAAUUUUUGAACUUCUAUCUUCUACCUUCUACUUCUACUUUUACAUAUUAUGUAUAGAUAUAUGAGAAAUGAUAUAGUGAGCGCCUAGAAUGAGGGCCACUUCCACAUCAUCUCAUUCUUUUCUUUUGUUUUACUUCCAUGUUUUCGGCGUCGUGUCAACAAGUGCUGGUUGAAGUUUGCAAUAUAUAUGUCCAUCGCUUCUCUCUCAAUCGAUUCGAAAAAUUAAAGAAAAAUCAAAACGAUGAUUUACAUGUAAUUUUUAUUCUCAAAUUGACAAAUCCUAGAAAAACCACUAAUGAAAAAAGGCAAAAAAAUUGCAAAAGUAGACGAUAUAAAAGAAAACAUGGAAGAAAAAGGGAAGAAGAACAAAGCUGUAGAGAUGACGGAAAAAGAAAGAAAGAAAAUCGAUUGUUGCAGAAAAAAUUAAGAAAAGAAAAAAAAAGAGCAAAAAGACUAAUAAAAAAAUAACAUUCAUAUAUCUUUGACUUAUUGAAAAUCUAUCAAUCCAAAUUAUAUAUUAGCUCUUAGCAUACUUGAGCCUAUAAUUACCACCAAAGUCAGCUGCCUCACAUCAUUAAAAUCUCAAAUAACUCAACGGGGCACCAUUGAGAUAAUGUUUAUCAAUCUACAACUGCAUAAUUGAUGUUAUCUGUCACUACAUAACAUGAGAAAAAUUACAGAUUUAACGCCAAAUUGGAAGGCGUCGAUGCAUAAACAUGUACAAUCAUUGUGCUUUACUCACUGGCUCAAGAGCUUCAAUAGUAACCACACUAUUUCCCCUGAUCACCACCAUGCCAAUAUUAGUUUUUUUAUUUCCAUUCACUUCAACGGUGUUGUCCACCACCAUCGAAGCCACGAAGAGUUCCAACAACCAUACGGUUGGCAUUAAGCUUCAUCUGCAGCUUCUUAUCCAUGUACUUCUUGAGAUCCGGCGGCUGUCCUGAUCUGCUCAUGGCAAAAACUUAAGAGUAAAACGUGAAUGCAAUUCAGUGUUCUGUCGGAGUUCAUUUUCAAGCUCAAAUUCAAGAGAGCCGAAAGAUUAUUAGAUUAAUAAAAAGAAGAAAAAGAAAGAGUGGAAGAAGUUUAAUAAUUAAACAAAAGGAAAAAUAAAAUCCGAUAAACUUUACCCGCCAUAAACAGCCACAAAGAGAAGGAAGACGUAAUCCAAUCAUGAUGUGAGAUUUUUUUUUCAUCCGAAAAGAAAGAAAAAUAGCAUGAAAAAGACUCGAUUUUUAAUCAAAAAAUUGAACAAAAAAUAAAAUAGAAAAAAAAUACAGUACAAUGAUCGAGCAAAGGUGAGAAGAUCAAGCAAAAGUGAGAAAAUCUGACAAAUUUUUGCCACCCACAAAGAGAAGAGAAGCAGCGGGUAAGCCGGUAGAUCUAUAGUCGAUACUGAACAUAAUAACAGAUCUUUUCUCUUAAUAUUUCAGAUCUUUGUCACGAUUUCACAUCUCUCUCGUCUCUUUCUUUUUCUCUCAAUCAAAGUGAACCACAUAACCAUUCUCUCAAAAGCUGCAAAAUAACAAAAAGAUUCUCUCAAAAUCUUCAAAAUCCUUGAGUCUGUCCCCUUUCACUUCUCAAUAUUCUAUGAUUAAUUGUCGUUGUCAAUCGACAUUACUCUAGCAACUCGCCGCUGACAGCAAUUCCGCAGCGACCUGACUCUCUUUCCACUGAUAUUCACCCAUUACUGAUUCUCUUACUCUCUCCCCUGAACUCAUUGAUGAGCGAAUGACCUCUGAGUCUCCGUCAGAGUUUGAUGAGUGAAUGGCGAAUGGCGGUAGAGGACGACAGGUUGAGGCUGAUGGUGGAAUUAGAAAAGGAGAAGAAGACGAUAGAUGCAAGGGUUUCAAAUAUUGGGGAUUAUAUUGAUUUUUGAAAUUCGGUGAUGCAAGUGGGGUAGAGAAAAAAAUUACUGAUGUUUUGCGUAUGAAGCGAAAUUCAAGAUAAAAUUUGAUAGGUUAAAUAAAGAGAUAACCGUUGUUAAAUGAAAGAGAAUAGUGGAAGAAGAGAGAGAUAUGUGUGAAAGAGAAAUAUCAAGAGAGAAUAGCGGAAGAAGAGGCAGAAAACGUGUGAGAGAGAAAAUAUGGCAGUAAAAAUAACUGCUAGAAAGGUAACAGAGUGGCAGAAAAUGGCAAAGGUUAUUGCUUGCUGAAAAGCGGUGAGAAGCAGUUGCGUUGCGUUUCAUCGAGAGAGAGAAUUGCAGUUACUAAAAUUUGGGAUAAUGGGUCUAACUUAACUGAUAAAUGGAUCCAUGAUGAUCUUAAGUAAAGCACGUCUUUUUAAAUUACAUAAAUAAACGGCCGUUAAAUAUUAAGAAUAUUCUGUUAGAAAGAUGACGGUAAAUUGGAUGCUGUUAAACUGGUUCUUUAUAUAAUAUAUAGAUUUCAUAUCCACAAAAUGGCCCAAACCCAAGCCCAUACAAUUUGAAUUUGAAUUAGACAAUGAACAAACCCUAAGUCUUUCUCCUAAUCAGAACAGCAACUGCCUCCUGCCUGCCGCCUCCUCUUCCCCCUCCCCCCAAUCUCUCGACUCUCAUCUCUCUCGGCAGAUCGACGACCGGCGACCGGCGUAGCGGCGAGUCGUCCUUCCGGCGAGCCUAACAGCAGCAGCAGUGCAGCAAGGAGCGCUGCCUCCUCUUCCCCCUCCGGCCCUCCCCCAAUCUCUCGACUCUCAUCUCUCUCGGUUGAUCGACGACCGGCGACCGGCGCAACGGUGAGUCGUCCUUCCAGCGAGCCUAACAGCAGUAGCAGUGCAGCACAGAGUCGCUGCGCCGCCGCCUUUGGCUCUCCUUUUCUAGGCCCGGCGGCCGGCGCGUUAGCAGCAGCAUCUACCACCACCGACUGCCCUUUUCCCAGCCCGGCGCGACUGCUCUCCUUUUCUUAGCCCGGCGCAACUCCUCUCCUUCCUCGGUGCAACUGGUAAUCGAGCUUAAUCGAGUCGAGCUCGAGCUCGCGAAUAUGGCAUCGAGUCGAGCUCGAGCUCAAAAAAAUCAAGCUCGGCCGAGUCGAGCUCGAGCUCGAGCUUUAUGAAAACAACCGAGUUCGAGUCUGAGCAGAGCAAUACUCGACUCGACUCGGCUCAUUUACACCCCUAGCUAAGACACAAGAGUUGGUGCUUAGGUGGAGACCAGACCACCAUUUAAGCAUCAACCUAAGACACAAGGGCUGUGGAUGCUCUUAAUUAUAUAGCACACACAGAUACAUAUAUAUGAUUAGGAUUAAAAUUACAAAUCGUUUGCACGUAAUAUAUGAAUAACUACAUUGAAUCUAUUAACUAUUUAUAAUUUCAUGGUCUUGGAUUCCAACCACAUAGAAGGCGCAAGUACAUGAUCACAAAAGUGCAAUUACUGUAUAAGAUAAGUACAAGGUUUGUAAUUUUUACGAAAAAUUAAGUUUUUACUAUAACACAAUCGUAUAUAUGUAGGUACAAUGCCGUGGUCGAAAACCUAAGUAGAAGCAACAACCAACUUCCCACAAUCAAAGUCAGCCAUUCUCACAAAGGGCUCAACGGUAAACUUAGACAAAAACAUCUUCCUAAAGAAGCUCACCACUUUGUUAUCACUCUCUUGCAACUUACCAACAACAUAAGCUGCGCUCACAAGACUAAAGCUUCUCCACCUCCUCUCCUUCCCAUACCUCUCCAACCCCUUUGCCAUCUUCGCGCAAUCCUCCUCGUCUCCCUCCUCCGACAGAGCUCCGCCCAGGCACCUUGCAAGAACCACCGCGUCCUCAAUAGCCGAGCACCCACCUUGACCUAGAUCCGGGGUCAUCGGAUGCAGGGCGUCCCCGGCCACACACACUCCGUUCCUCACAAUGUCUCCGAACAAAAUGUUCCACGGCGACCUAAACUUCAGAUGCGCGGACGAGAUGUUGGCUAGCUCGGUCCUCUCCACCACAUCCAACACAUGUUUACGAGCGCUGCCGAUUUUGCUGAUCACAAACUGCUUCAUUUUUGAGGGAUCGCGCUCGCUCUCAUCAUCUGCGCCAAACCAAAAACAUGAUUGUUCACAAACUUGUUUUCUGACUAUUGUUUGCAUUAUAAUGUCUAGGGUCAAUCGUGUCUUGUAUCUUCAAGUUUUAGCGUUUUGUAUUCGAAAACCUUCAACCUUUGGAAUAAUUUGAUUUAUAUCACACAUUACAGAAUCCCGACGACAAAAUCAUGAGUCACCUUGACAGACACUUAGAUGGGUUUUCUUUCCACCUCACUUACUAAACGAUGUCAUUUAAAAUAAAAGAAACUACAGAAUCACACUCUAAGUUCUAAAAAUAGGUUUGAUAGAGAGAGAGAGAGAGAGAGAGCAGAACUCAGCCGAGCAACCAUUCAGCCUUCAAAACUUAGAGUGAGAUUAGACGGAUGUCUUGAUUUAAUUUUAUCUUUUCGGUGAAAUAAUGCCAUGGAGUGAGUGAGUGGGAAAAAAUUCCACUUAAGAAUUUGGAAAGUGAUUCAUCAUUCCGUCAUUAGAUUCUUCAAACACGGCAAAAAUUGACUUAUGUGAAUGAAAAAACAUUAGCGAAGGAUUUUUAUUCUUUUCUGAAAUACACUAAAGUUUGGAACACAAAACAUAAUAAACCCGAAUGUAAACGACCAACUAAGUCGAACAAAUUAGGGGCAAAUUCAUUUGACUUACAUUUGAAUAGUGAUGGAGUGAAAGUGCAGAACCAGUAUAUGUCAUUGUCAUCACAAGGAACAAAACCGACGCGCACGCCUCCACCAAAGUAGGCAUACAUCUUGGGCUCUAAGUUGUGGCCGUCUGGAUACACGACAUAGCCUCUGAUCGCUGCUCGUGCAGCGCUAACCGGACUCUUGAGGCCCAGCCAUUGCGCCACCAUUGAGUUCACUCCAUCACAUCCCAGCAAUACCUAGCGUUAAGGAUUAGUUAAGAAAAAUAAAAAUAGUAUAGGCUGAUCUAUUAUUUACUAAGGAACUUCGGAAUAUCCCAAGAUGUUUGAUAAUUUCUACCAAUUGAGCUAAUCUUUGCUCGAUUCAUAUCAUAUUGAAAGAUUAGUAUUGAAGAAAUCCUAGUAAUGAAGAUAGAUAAUACUUAAUCAUAUAUCUUAUCGAUCACAAACUCAACUUUUUUUUUCUUUUACCUUAGUUCUGAAAAUAGAGCCAUCUGAAAGAUGCACUAAUUUGAAGUUACCAGAUUCCUCAAUGCAAACAAUCUUGGAAGAGUAUCUCACACUCCCUUGUGGCAAUUCUCUCUCUAGAAGCUCUAGUAAGUCUGUCCUUCUCACACAUCUCUUCUCAAACUUGCCUCUACAUGUAACAACAGAUAAACAAAUAUAGAUCAUUUACCAUCUACAGCAAAUAAAAAAAGGUGUAAUUGGACCUAAAUACACAAACUUUCAAUUGUUCUGAGUUUUCACAUUAUUGUCAAUUUCCGACGAAUUAAUUUUAUUGGGGCUAGUAGAAGUAGCGUCUAACUAUGUCGUUUAGUACAUUGACCAUUUAAGCCAUAUAGACAUUUCAGACGUUCAUUUCAACAUUAAAAUUUGGACAACGUGAAAUUAACCCUAAGGCCGGGGUAAUGAUUUUAUAUAUAUAUAUAUAUAUCAACAAUCCACUUAAGAGCGUUUAUUUUGGAGGAUUAGCCUUGAUAAAUAAAAAUAGUAAGCCUAUCAUUCAAGCUAAUUUUGUUUGAUUUUUAUCUCAUGUAAAGGGCGGGAUUGGAGAUAUCCUACUCUUGAGCAUAAAAAUACUCAAUCCUGCAUAUAACCAAUCAUACAAAGUAAACGCGCAUUUACUUCAAAGGAUUAAGCUUGAUAGAUAAAAAUAGUAAGUCUAGUCUCUUGUUUACUUUGAUGGAUUGCAACUUUGAUAAUAUCCCAAGGCCCUUGAUUAUUUUUAUCCUUCAAGCUAAUUUUGCUUGAUUCUUAUCCCAUAAAAAGGAUGGGAUUAAAGAUAUCUAACUCUUGAGGAUAAAAAUAUUCAAUCCUACAUAUAAUCAAUCAUGCAAAGUAAACGUCCCUUACAAUUUGAAAUCUGUCUCAACGCCUUGCUCUGGACUAGAAGAGGUGGAAUCCAAGCUACCGACUUCAAAACUAACAGAAAUCCAAUCAGAAAAUUAAGUAAUCAGCAAAAGAAUUGAAAAUUUGAAACGACAUGAUAUUACUCGAAUUGGAGCUGUGAAUACCCUUGAAUUGGGAGAGAAUUGGCUCUCAUGGCGUCGCCGAUUCCGACUGCAUCUAGAGCUAUCCACGCGUUCGUCCAUAAAGUUAGGGCGAACCCUGUGGUUCUCAAUCCAUCCGACGCCUCCAAAACCAGGCUCCGAAUCCCCAACCUUCACACAAUCAUUUCAUCAAACAGUUGGGGUGCAUGAAAACGCAAUUUGUUCAAGGAGGUACCUGUGGAGUCCGAGAGCUGUGGUGAGGCCAGCUAUGCCGCCUCCGACUAUCAAAAUAUCUUGCUCGUGGAUCGCGGGUUCCAUUUGGCUCUUCGUUGCCGAGAAUCGAAGCGUGAUGAAGAAGAGAAGUGGAAGUUUUGGAUGAAUGUGUGUUCUGUUUUUAUAGUGAAGGAUGGUUUAUGUAGUGAUUAAGAUCAAAAAGUUCAAAUUCCCAAUAAAAUAUAGGCAUAAAAAUGAAAAUUUUGUUCAACAAGUGACAGACACCUAGCUAUGUCUCAUAUUCGUGCUAAUUCAAUGCAUUCACUAGUGUUGGGCUCAAAAAAAUAAAAUGCAUUCACUAGUGUUACUGUUACCCCUAGUGGGGUACCCUAACUCUGCUUUUAUUUUAUUUUUGCAAUAUCUUUGCACAAAUUUUCUAUUUUAAUAUAUCCUUCUACAUCAAUACUUGAUACUAAUUCAAUCUCUGUUUGACAGAACUUACCGAUUUUUUUUAAUUUUGCAUUAUUUGACAUAAACCCUUUUAAUAUCCCUAUUGCAUUUAGAGCAGUAGUAAGGCAAGCUACGCCGCCACCAACUAUAUAAAAAUCCUGUUCAUGCCUCAAUUUGUCUCAUUCUAGUGUUGGAUUAGGAUUACUGUAUGAUUUUGACUUCUCAAUAGUUCCCGCAAUAACGAAACAAAUACAAAAUCCAAAUAAAUUGGAACUAUAGGCGAGACUUGAUCUGAUGCCUCAUUGGCGGACGCAACACAGAUUUUUUCUAACGAUGAGCAGUCACAACAAGAAUGCGAAUGCGAACACGAACAUGCUUCAAAAUGUCAAAAUUCUCAGCAGGAAAGCAAGAAAUCUACAAGAGUGAUUAAAUAUAUAUUGAGCAUACCAGUUCCUCAAGCAUCUGCUAAAAGCUUCACCUCCUUUGGCCCUCGACAUGUACCUCCGAGUGAUGUGUUCUUCGCCAAUCUCAUCGUAAUAAGGCCUAAUAAAUUUGUCAAAGAAAAGAUCAUCUCUGAAUGUAGCAACACUAUUAAGACUUGGCUACUUUGCAAUCAGAUUCCUACUAUCCACAAGUCUCAGAAUCUACAGCCGCGGCUCAAGCCUCUUUUCGAUGCUGCACCCGAGCACUGACGGGCCAGUGACAAUGCUGGACAUAUUGUACUUGCUGGUAGCAACCAGAAGAUCUAUCACAUUCUUAAUUUUAUUUCCAGAAACCGCAAAAACUGUUGGUUGCUUCCUAAGAAUCACGAACAUGUCAUUAUCAGAAAAUCCCAAAUUGCGGAGACUUUGCCACUUCACUUCCCACAUCUUCUUACUCUUAAGGGCAAAUAAAUCAACUGAAAUUGAUAGAAGCCUUAGAUGCCCCAAUUUCUAUGGCCUUGUCUACAGAUUUCCUCAUAAUAUGAGGCUUCACCAAGAAGCAUCUCGGCCGAAUAUAGAGGAAGUGAUGGAUACGCUCCAUAGGUAUACCACAGCUCUUGAGGAUUUCCACAUUCGGCAUUAAAGAUUCAUCCAAAUCUGUUGUCAAAAACCAGGCAGAUCUUUUCAAAAGUCUGGCCACUUCAUGACCAGAUUCGAGGAAAUCUUUGAGCUUGGAUAAUGAAGGAAUGAUCCUAUUCUUCGUGCUUGAACGUAACAUCGAAAUAUGACUGAAAAUUAUUUGGAAUACGUUGAAUUUGAAUCUGAUGCGCUCAAUUCGAAACCCUAGAAUCGGAGGAUAAUAGAUGACGAUUUUCUCGAGCUGAGUAGUCGUAAAGCUAUUCUCUUUGAAGAAGGAUAGUACUGAAUCGGCUCUUUUAGGGCAUCUAGAUUUGGGGGAACGUGAUGCAGCUAGUGAAGCCGAUUCGGGAGAGAAGUGGUGUUUGUUGACCAAUACAUCAUAGAUUUUAAGGCAAGGGGUUUGUCUUUCCACUUUCGAAGUGGAGAAGAAGUGGAAUGCGGGAAAGAAACGAAGAUUUGAGUUGCUGAGAAAUGAAUUAGGGUUCAAACGUAAAUAGGAGAGGUUAUUGCGUGCAAUUGCAAUCAUGUUGAUUGAUAUAGAUAGAAUUUGGGUUCGGAAAUGAAAGGGACUUGCCUGCAAAAUCAAAGGACUCAAAGCUUGUCGAUCGAGGGGUUUUGAGCAAGCGCUGUUGCCAUGGCAGAGAGGGAAGAAGCUUAGUUUCGAUAGUCCAUGGCACUGAAUAAACGAAUUAGGGACCCUUUUUU